GAUGAACGCUGGCGGCGUGCCUAAUACAUGCAAGUCGAGCGAACAGACGAUGAGCUUGCUCCUCUUACGUUAGCGGCGGACGGGUGAGUAACACGUGGAUCACCUACCUAUAAGACUUGGAUAACUUCGGGAAACCGGAGCUAAUACCGGAUAAUAUCUUGAACCGCAUGGUUCAAUAGUGAAAGACGGUUUUGCUGUCACUUAUAGAUGGAUCCGCGCCGCAUUAGCUAGUUGGUAAGGUAACGGCUUACCAAGGCAACGAUGCGUAGCCGACCUGAGAGGGUGAUCGGCCACACUGGAACUGAGACACGGUCCAGACUCCUACGGGAGGCAGCAGUAGGGAAUCUUCCGCAAUGGGCGAAAGCCUGACGGAGCAACGCCGCGUGAGUGAUGAAGGUCUUCGGAUCGUAAAACUCUGUUAUUAGGGAAGAACAAAUGUGUAAGUAACUAUGCACGUCUUGACGGUACCUAAUCAGAAAGCCACGGCUAACUACGUG
rnacentral:rRNA from 1 species